rnacentral:rRNA from 1 species
ACUGGGCAUUAACUGACGCUGAAGCACGAAAGCGUGGGUAGCAAACAGGAUUAGAUACCCUGGUAGUCCACGCUGUAAACGAUGAUUACUAGGUGUGGGGGGACUGACCCCUUCCGUGCCGGAGUUAACACAAUAAGUAAUCCACCUGGGGAGUACGGUCGCAAGACUGAAACUCAAAGGAAUUGACGGGGGCCCGCACAAGCAGUGGAGUAUGUGGAUUAAUUCGAAGCAACGCGAAGAACCUUACCAGGUCUUGACAUGGGGAUGAUCGCGCUAGAGAUAGCGUUUUCCUUCGGGACAUCCCACACAGGUGGUGCAUGGUUGUCGUCAGCUCGUGUCGUGAGAUGUUGGGUUAAGUCCCGCAACGAGCGCAACCCUUACUGUUAGUUGCUACGCAAGAGCACUCUAGCAGGACUGCCGUUGACAAAACGGAGGAAGGUGGGGAUGAUGUCAAAUCAUCAUGCCCCUUAUGACCUGGGCCUCACACGUACUACAAUGGCCGUUAACAACGGGAAGCAAAAUGGUGACAUGGAGCAAAACCCCAAAAACGGUCUCAGUUCGGAUUGUAGGCUGAAACUCGCCUGCAUGAAGUUGGAAUUGCUAGUAAUCGCGGAUCAGCAUGCCGCGGUGAAUACGUUCCCGGGCCUUGUACACACCGCCCGUCAAACCAUGAGAGUUGGCAACACCCGAAGUCGGUAGUCUAACCGUAAGGAGGACGCCGCCGAAGGURGGRUUGRYGAYURGGGUKAAGUCGUAACAAGGU